rnacentral:rRNA from 1 species
GACGAACCGUGCGAACGUUUAUUCGGAAUCAUUGGGCGUAAAGCGCGUGUAGGCGGCUUCGUAAGUCCGUUGUGAAAGUCCAGGGCUCAACCCUGGAAUGCCGAUGGAUACUGCGGAGCUAGAGUCCGGAAGAGGCGAGUGGAAUUCCUGGUGUAGCGGUGAAAUGCGCAGAUAUCAGGAGGAACACCAAUGGGCGAAGGCAGCUCGCUGGGA